AGAUUAAGUUAUUAAGGGCGCACGGUGGAUGCCUUGGCACUAGAAGCCGAUGAAGGACGUUACUAACGACGAUAUGCUUUGGGGAGCUGUAAGUAAGCUUUGAUCCAGAGAUUUCCGAAUGGGGAAACCCAGCAUGAGUUAUGUCAUGUUAUCGAUAUGUG
rnacentral:rRNA from 1 species